rnacentral:rRNA from 1 species
AACGUAGGUUCCGAGCGUUAUCCGGAUUUACUGGGCGUAAAGCGCGUUCAGGCGGUUUGGCAAGUCGGGCAUGAAAUCCUUCGGCUCAACCGGGGGAGGUUGUCCGAUACUGCUGAACUGGAGGGCAGUAGAGGGUGGUGGAAUUCCCGGUGUAGCGGUGAAAUGCGUAGAUAUCGGGAGGAACAUCAGUGGCGAAGGCGGCUGCCUGGCCCAAUACUGACACUCAGGUGCGACAGCGUGGGGAGCAAACAGG